UACGUAGGGGGCAAGCGUUGUCCGGAAUCAUUGGGCGUAAAGCGCGCGUGGGCGGCCAGAUUAGUCCGGUGUGAAAGUCAGAGGCUCAACCUUUGAAUGCCGCUGGAAACUGUCUGGCUUGAGUCCGGAAGGGGCGAGUGGAAUUCCGGGUGUAGCGGUGGAAUGCGUAGAGAUCCGGAAGAACACCGGUGGCGAAGGCGGCCUGCUGGGCAGUUGCUGACACUGAGGCGCGACAGCGUGGGGAGCAAACAGG
rnacentral:rRNA from 1 species